rnacentral:rRNA from 1 species
AUUGAACGCUGGCGGCAGGCCUAACACAUGCAAGUCGAGCGGAGCGGCGGACGGGUGAGUAAUGCCUAGGAAUCUGCCUGGUUGUGGGGGAUAACUUCCGGAAACGGGCGCUAAUAACGCCUACUAUCAGUUGAGCCUAGGUCGGAUUAGCUAGUUGGUGGGGUAAAGGCCUACCCAGGGGACGAUCCGUCACUGGUCUGAGAGGAUGAUCAGUCACACUGGAACUGGGACACGGUCCAGACGCCUACGGGAGGCAGCAGGGGGGAAUAUUGGGCAAGGGGGGGAAGCCUGAUGCAGCGACGCCGCGUGGGGGAUGACGGCCUUCGGGUUGUAAACUCCUUUCACCAUCGACGCGGUAGAUGGAGAAGAAGCACCGGCUAACUACGUGCCAGCAGCCGCGGUAAUAC